rnacentral:lncRNA from 1 species
CACUUAUCACAGCUUCAGAUUGAACCCGAUCUUAAUAAUUUACGACGAAAAAUAUCUGCUCCAAAAAAUUUAUAACAUUGCCUAAUUUUUUUUACAAAAUUGCACAAAUCCCCAAUUUUCAGCCUCAAUUUUCUCGAAAACAAGCACGGUGACCUAUGUUUUAUUUUGUGUUUUAUUUUAUAACUCGCCAAGGCCUACAAC